CCAAUAGCGUAUAUUAAAGUUGUUGCAGUUAAAAAGCUCGUAGUUGAAUUUCGGGAUCAAUAUGUUGGUCGUGCCUCGGUACGUACUAGCUUAUUGGUUUCUCCUUUCUGAAGAACCAUGAUGUCAUUUAUUUGGUGUCGUGGGGAAUCAGGACUGUUACUUUGAAAAAAUUAGAGUGUUUAAAGCAGGCUCACGCUUGAAUACAUUAGCAUGGAAUAAUGAAAUAGGACGUUUGAUUCUAUUUUGUUGGUUUCUAGGAUCGACGUAAUGAUUAAUAGGGAUA
rnacentral:rRNA from 1 species